UUUAACUUGCGUAAUCCUUUUUCCCCGGUCUUCCCCUCUGAUGAAUAACUAAUUGAUGACAAUACUUAAAGCCGAUAUUUGCUAAACCAGUUUAAUAACGCUUGUGAGCUGUCAAGGAAAACACGCAACCAAGAAUAAGAAUGCGCUGGCUAUUCAUACUGGUAGUGGCGAUGACGCUAGCCGCCGCUCUUACGCAUCCCGCCCCGGAAGCCUACCCAAGAACCCAAGAAAUACCUCAAGAAAUCAGCAGUCACAGAGACCCCAUCCUAAAUGGUUCUUCCGAAAGACUAAGAAGAUCGUUAGGUGUAGUGGCCUGCAUCACCUGCCCUGGUUCCACGAAAUGCCUGGACGGUUAUAGGUACGUGGCUGGUGUGGGCUGCGUUCGUGUGAAGAAACAUGGAAAGUGAUAUCAAGGACCAAAAGCAAGAAGCAAAAGCUAAGCGUGCAAAGUAUUAAAAAUAAAUCAUGCCUUUUUGGGACUGUGUUAGAUGUUAGAAUUAUUGUUAUGACAAUAAAGUGUCGAGAUGUUUAUCUUUCUUGUAUAACUGUGUUGGUAAUUAAAUAAUAGGUACUAACUUAAA